ensembl:misc_RNA Y_RNA Y RNA
GGCUCGUCCGAGUGCAGUGGUGUUUGCAAAUAAUUGAUCACAGCCAAGAUUCCUGUUGUAAAUGGUUCCUGUGUUCUUUCUCCACUCUCACUGUUUCACUUGAGUAGCCUAAA